rnacentral:rRNA from 1 species
AUUGAACGCUGGCGGCAGGCCUAACACAUGCAAGUCGAGCGGAUGAAGGGAGCUUUCUCCUGGAUUCAGCGGCGGACGGGUGAGUAAUGCCUAGGAAUCUGCCUGGUAGUGGGGGAUAACGUCCGGAAACGGGCGCUAAUACCGCAUACGUCCUGAGGGAGAAAGUGGGGGAUCUUCGGACCUCACGCUAUCAGAUGAGCCUAGGUCGGAUUAGCUAGUUGGUGGGGUAAAGGCCUACCAAGGCGACGAUCCGUAACUGGUCUGAGAGGAUGAUCAGUCACAAUGGAACUGAGACACGGUCCAGACUCCUACGGGAGGCAGCAGUGGGGAAUAUUGGACAAAGGGCGAAAGCCUGAUCCAGCCAUGCCGCGUGUGUGAAGAAGGUCUUCGGAUUGUAAAGCACUUUAAGUUGGGAGGAAGGGCAGUAAGUUAAUACCUUGCUGUUUUGACGGUACCAACAGAAUAAGCACCGGCUAACUUCGUG